rnacentral:rRNA from 1 species
UGAGGAAUAUUGGUCAAUGGACGAGAGUCUGAACCAGCCAAGUAGCGUGAAGGAUGACUGCCCUAUGGGUUGUAAACUUCUUUUAUAUGGGAAUAAAGUAUUCCACGUGUGGCCAUUUUGUAUGUACCAUAUGAAUAAGGUA